rnacentral:misc_RNA from 1 species
GCUUUUUCUUCCUGAGUUCGUGAGGAACUGGGCCAAACACUCUUGUCCCAAUAGGCUGGCCUUGCUUAUCCACAAGUACUACAGCAUUAUCAUCAAACUUGACCUCGCUCCCAUCACAACGACCUCUUUGCAUUGCAGCUCGCACAACCACGCCAUAUACAACCUUUCCUUUCUUUACUUUUCCAUUAGGAUGGGCUUCUUUCACUGAUGCGACAAUUGUGUCUCCUAAUCGUGCUCCUUUCUUCCCCUUCAAAGAUUG